GUUUUAACACUCAGAUGCUUAUGGUCACAGGAAAAGCAAUUUUUAAAAAUCCAAACCUACAUUUUGAGAUAACUAUAGAUUUACAGGAAGUUGCAAGGAAAGUACUGAGAGGUUGCAUGCACCCUUCACAUGGGUUCCCCAAAUAGUGAUAAAAAUCAACUUUUUAGGCCGAGGUGGGAUGACUUUAGCCCAGGAGUUUGAGACCAGCCUGGACAACAUGGUAAGACCCUUUCUCUACUAAAAGUACAAAAAUUAGGUACAUGCGCCUAUAGUCUCAGCUACUCAGGAGGCUGAGGUGGGAGAACGGCUUAAAUCCAGGAGGCGGAGGCUGCAGUGAGCUGUGAUUGUGCCACUGCACUCCCGCCAGGGGAAAACAAC
rnacentral:lncRNA from 1 species